rnacentral:rRNA from 1 species
AGUUUGAUCCUGGCUCAGGAUGAACGCUGGCGGCGUGCCUAAUACAUGCAAGUCGAACGCUUUGUGGUUCAACUGAUUUGAAGAGCUUGCUCAGAUAUGACGAUGGACAUUGCAAAGAGUGGCGAACGGGUGAGUAACACGUGGGAAACCUACCUCUUAGCAGGGGAUAACAUUUGGAAACAGAUGCUAAUACCGUAUAACAAUGACAACCGCAUGGUUGUUAUUUAAAAGAUGGUUCUGCUAUCACUAAGAGAUGGUCCCGCGGUGCAUUAGCUAGUUGGUAAGGUAAUGGCUUACCAAGGCGAUGAUGCAUAGCCGAGUUGAGAGACUGAUCGGCCACAAUGGGACUGAGACACGGCCCAUACUCCUACGGGAGGCAGCAGUAGGGAAUCUUCCACAAUGGGCGAAAGCCUGAUGGAGCAACGCCGCGUGUGUGAUGAAGGGUUUCGGCUCGUAAAACACUGUUGUAAGAGAAGAAUGACAUUGAGAGUAACUGUUCAAUGUGUGACGGUAUCUUACCAGAAAGGAACGGCUAAAUACGUGCCAGCAGCCGCGGUAA